UUGGUACUCAGAGCCUUCCCAACUGCUCCUCCUCAAGAACUUUCUACCACCAGGGCUUUUCUCACCAUCAGUGGGAUUGGCAAACUCCUUGGGGACAGCGGCUCCAUCAUCCAGCUCGAUGGCUUCUAGGCCCACUCGGACCCCCUCAAUCUGGAUGUCAUGCUCCCCGGAAGCCGCAUCGUCCUCUGACCGAGCACUCUCCCCUGUGCGUCGGAAUUUCACCACCCUGGAGACGGAAGCAGACGUGAUUGGGAUGGCCAGGGUGCUCACCCGAUGGCCUUGCUGUGGGGCCUUCCCACCCGAGGCAGGUAUUGUUUCUGAACGGCUCCUACCCACACCUGGAAGCUCCUCUUCAUCUCUUUGCUGUGGAGAAUCACGAUCCCCGAGCAGCCCUGGGUUGUACACGCAUCUGAAACAGCUGUCACAGCUAGGAAUGUGGCAUACUCGAUGCCCACCUUGUCUCCCAGGCCAGCGCUGUGUGGCAGAACCUGGCAGACCAGUGCCGUUACAGGAAACGUCUACAUGUGUGCCCCACACAGAGGUGGUCCCUAGCUACAGAUAAUGAUGGUGAUGGUGAUGAUAAUGGUGAUGACGAUGAUGAUGAGUGUUUUUGAGACAGCAUGUGGCUCAGGCUGGCCUAGAAGCUAUCCAGACUCAGUCCCUCAAUUGCUGGAAUUACAGGGCAGGCCUGCAUCUCAACCUAGCUUCAAUUAAUUACAUAUAUACAUAUAUAAGUUUCCCUAGUCUCAUAAUUUCUUUCUGUAUAUUUCACACCACGGAUGGUACCCAAGGCCCUGUGCAUGGUAGACAAGUGCUCAUUUCGAGUGUGAAUGAGACAAACCCUGGUUCCCCAGUUUUCAGUCUCUUUUAGCUAUGGAAAAAAAAUUAGUAUGUAAUGUCAUGAUGCCUACAUUCUGGAAAGCUAAAGGCACAUAUGUCCUUUGCCAUGAUCACAUGGUCUGCUGGGGUGUGAAAAUUCAUUCCACUAAAAGCUGACAUCCCAGUA